rnacentral:piRNA from 1 species
UCCUACCUCUAGAGAGCUUUCCAGGCUUC